UUAAGCCCCAGUAAACGGCGGCCGUAACUAUAACGGUCCUAAGGUAGCGAAAUUCCUUGUCGGGUAAGUUCCGACCCGCACGAAAGGCGUAAUGAUUUGGGCACUGUCUCAACGAUACACCCGGUGAAAUUGAAAUACCAGUGAAGAUGCUGGUUACCUGCGCCAGGACGGAAAGACCCCAUGGAGCUUUACUCCAGUUUGAUACUGGGAUUCGGCAUGGUAUGUACAGGAUAGGUGGGAGACUGAGAAGGUAUGACGUCAGUUGUACCGGAGUCGCUGUUGGGAUACCACCCUUACCAUGUUGGAUUUCUAACCUGUGGCCGUAAGCCGGUCAGGGGACAAUGUCAGGCGGGGAGUUUGACUGGGGCGGUCGCCUCCGAAAGGGUAUCGGAGGCGCUCAAAGGUUCCCUCAGAAUGGUUGGAAACCAUUCGAAGAGUGCAAAGGCAGAAGGGAGCUUGACUGCGACACCGACGGGUGGAGCAGGUACGAAAGUAGGACUUAGUGAUCCGGUGGUAUAAAGUGGGAUUGCCAUCGCUCAACGGAUAAAAGCUACCCUGGGGAUAACAGGCUUAUCACUCCCAAGAGUUCACAUCGACGGAGUGGUUUGGCACCUCGAUGUCGGCUCAUCGCAUCCUGGAGCUGUAGCAGGUUCCAAGGGUUGGGCUGUUCGCCCAUUAAAGCGGUACGCGAGCUGGGUUCAGAACGUCGUGAGACAGUUCGGUCCCUAUCCGGCGCAGGCGGAGGAAAUUUGAUAGGAGCUGUCCUUAGUACGAGAGGACCGGGAUGGACGGACCGCUGGUGUAUCUGUUGUACUGCCAAGUGCAUAGCAGAGUAGCCAAGUCUGGAAGGGAUAAACGCUGAAGGCAUCUAAGCGUGAAGCCCCCCUAAAGAUAAGAUUUCCCAUACCGAAAGGUAGUAAGACCCCUUGAAGACGACGAGGUAGAUAGGGCAGAGGUGGAAGUACGGUAACGUAUGGAGCUGACUGUUACUAAUCGGUCGAGGCUUUAACCAA
rnacentral:rRNA from 1 species